AUACGGAGGGGGCUAGCGUUGUUCGGAAUUACUGGGCGUAAAGCGCGUGUAGGCGGAUCGUUAAGUCAGGGGUGAAAGCCCGGGGCUCAACCCCGGAACUGCCCUUGAUACUGGCGAUCUAGAGUCCGGAAGAGGUGGGCGGAAUUCCCGGUGUAGAGGUGAAAUUCGUAGAUAUCGGGAGGAACACCAGUGGCGAAGGCGGCUCACUGGUCCGGUACUGACGCUGAGACGCGAAAGCGUGGGGAGCAAACAGGAUUAGAAACCCCAGUAGUCC
rnacentral:rRNA from 1 species